UACAGAGGGUGCAAGCGUUGUUCGGAAUUAUUGGGCGUAAAGGGAGUGUAGGCGGCUUGUUAAGUCUUCUGUGAAAUCUACGGGCUUAGCCUGUAACGUGCAGAGGAAACUGGCGAGCUUGAGUGUCGGAGAGGAUAGGGGAAUACCCAGUGUAGAGGUGAAAUUCGUAGAGAUUGGGUGGAACACCAGUGGCGAAGGCGGCUAUCUGGCUGACAACUGACGCUGAGACGCGAAAGCAUGGGGAGCAAACAGG
rnacentral:rRNA from 1 species